rnacentral:rRNA from 1 species
UACGUAGGGGGCAAGCGUUGUCCGGAGUUACUGGGCGUAAAGGGCAUGCAGGCGGUCCGACACGUUUUGUGUGACAGCGGGUGGCUUAACUACCCGAGGAUACGAAAGACGGUUGGACUUGAGGACUCGAGAGGGACACGGAAUUCCGGGUGGAGUGGUGAAAUGCGCAGAUAUCGGGAAGAACACCCGUGGCGAAGGCGGCUCUCUGGGACGGUACUGACACUGAGGAGCGAAAGCCAGGGGAGCAAACGGG